rnacentral:RNase_P_RNA from 1 species
AGAGUCGUCUGGAUCAUCGCGUUAUUACUUGUAAUACCGAGGAAAGUCCGGACUCCAAAGAGCAAGGUGAUGGCUAACGGCCAUCCGGAGAAAUCCGCGGGAUUAGUGCCACAGAAAAUAAACCGCCAAGAAAUUGGUAAGGA